UUGAGUGGGUUGUAGAAGUUGAAACAUUUUGAACAUGCAAGCUAUUGGACAUGGAUGUUGAAGCAUGUUUAAUCUUUCCAAAUUGCA